rnacentral:misc_RNA from 1 species
UACUCCCAUCAACAAAUUGCCAUGGUAGAUUUGAGUGUUCUUUUCUCCCUUGCUUCUAGUACGUCGGAACAUUGGGGAAAAUAUGUGACUCAGAGAGAUUUCAUGAAGAUUUAUUUUAGUGUAAUGUCUAACUUAAUUAUCAUUAUUCUUGCUUACAGUGCGAGUCGGAAGUGAGGACAUCUAUUUUUCUGCAAUGAUCUGAUCUGUCCAAAUAGAAUAGUCUGGUUUUCUUUGCAGAUAUCCUUGGUAUAGAUGGAAAUAACUCGUGAUCUCACUUUAUUGUUUCCAUGUAUUCAUUUUAUCCCCACUUUCUCAGUACAGUAUCUGCAAUAUUUGCAUACAUGCACUGUCUUACUCAUGUGGCUAAUCAUUUCCUCUUCCUCUCCAGAACACCGUGAUCACCACUACAGCAGACGAGCACAUCCACAGCGGCGGUACCCUGGGUGAUCUCGUCCACGAGUGACACUUAGUCUUUGAUUAACUACCUGGUCCCUUAGGCAGUGGAGGUGGUGGCAGCCUCUUAUCGCAGUCGUUGACUCCCUUACUUCACCAAGCCAAGUUCUGAGGCCAGAUACUGGACAUCUGGGGAGACUUAUCUGCCCAAACACUCUUGGGCAUCACUGUGUGUUCGAUCUAGUAUGGAGGUGUUGCGUGCCUGGUUUGGGCGUGCUGGAGUGGGAGCUUGGCGGUCAAGG